rnacentral:rRNA from 1 species
GACGAACGUUGGCGGCGUGCUUAAUACAUGCAAGUCAACUGAAGCAGUGGUAGCAAUAUCGCUGUGGAGGUGGCGCACGGGUGAGUAACACGUAGGUAAUCUGCCUUCAGGUCUGGCAUAACUCCGGGAAACCGGGGCUAAUAGCAGAUGAUGCAGCGGCUCGACAUCGAGACAGUUGUUAAAGCUAUGGCGCCUGAAGAUGAGCCUGCGUCUGAUUAGCUAGUUGGCGGGGUAACGGCCCACCAAGGCAACGAUCAGUAGCUGGUCUGAGAGGAUGAUCAGCCACACUGGAACUGAGACACGGUCCAGACUCCUACGGGAGGCAGCAGUAAGGAAUAUUGCUCAAUGGGAGAAAUCCUGAAGCAGCAACGCCGCGUGAGGGACGAAGGGCUUGUGCUUGUAAACCUCUGUAGUGAGAGAAAAAAAUCCCAAUCUUUGGGACAUGAUGGUAUCUCAAAAGUAAGCCCCGGCUAACUACGU